CGUUUGCGGUUCCAGUCCUCCUGGCCUUCUCUUUUUUGCUCAACAUCUGGUCGAGCCGGACACACUGCUAUGUGGUCACCACUCUCGCCGUCCCUGUUGUUCUUUCAUCUGUAUCAGGAUUUCUCCUCUGGUUUUCACGCGGGUGUUGACAGGCCCUGGUGUUGGACAACGACCAGCACCGUCGUCGGCUCAGGAUCACGGCGUAGCCGGCAGACGCCCCAACGACGACCAGUAAGCCCAUGACCGUCGGCAAGGCACGGAACAUGGUGGAUGGAGGGGUUCCUGGCGGUGGCGGCCCACGGAUGCUCCGGGCGCAAUGAGCUGCUGCUCGGCGGUUCCUCCACCCUCUACUGAAUUAUUUGUUCUUAUAAAAGAAGGUGAUCAUAUAACCUCAGUCUUACUGGAAGCUUCAUGGAAUAUUAUGUUCUUGAUUCGACACUCCAAUUAUUGGUUUGCCCUGCUCUAUUUUCUCUUCCCUUUCUAUCUCGAUUCUCCUCCCUAGAGUUAAUUCUGAAUUGGUAUGAUCAAAUUGAGAAGUCUUAAUCAUUGCUAUUCGCCGAAGGUAAUUUUACUACCAAUUUAAUGGCACUGUACAUUUGGAAACUGGUCCAAAUCCAGGACAAGAAAGAACUAAACCGGUUCAAGCCCAGAAAAAAUAAGAAUUUAAACAAAUAAAACGGUAUCACAAGCAAGCACAAAUUACUAGAAUGUUUUGCUGACCAUUGUUUUAGUGUCUUCAUGAGUAAUUCAAAUCUAGCAACAAUAGUUCAUGAAAUAAAAUUCAGUUCACCCAGUUAUGCAAUAUGUAUAUCAUUGAUGUUCCCUGAUAUUUUUUUUUAAAUCCUUACUGAGCUACGAGCUACACUGAUACUGAUGUUUCAGAGGAUUGGUCCAGUUUCUCACUGGAGUGUGAAAUGCAGUUGAACUAACCAGAAGUGUACCCCUACUACGUGAAUAUUUAAUCAUCCCUUAUAGGAACUGAUAUGUUCACAAAAAACCAGAUCACUGUCUCCAAAGAAAUGCAUAAUGAUUUGGCAUGUUAUAUUUCAUGUGCCUUUGUUCUGCUGUAGUACACUGGAACCCAUUGAUACAUGAGCUUCACUUUUUUGCAUGAUUUGAAUUUUUACAGGUCCAUAGGUGUGCUACUUCUCAAGAGAGCCAGGCAUCAGCUGUGGAUAGCUCAAGGAGAAGACAACCUAAGAACUUCUUGGUGUUGAUUAUUUUGAUCAUUGGAUCAUUGUAAGUAUCACCAUGUUUUAUUCAAUCUUUAAUUACCAGCGCAUCAAUAUUACCUAACUGAAUGUUCCUCCCAUUUAGAUUUUUUUGCUCCACAGUAGUAAGAAAUUCAGUUGUUCAUAUGACUUACCAGGGAAAUUACUGCUGAAUUGGUUCACCAACAUUUUAGAGUGUGUUUGACCUGUGUAAUGGUGUUCUGGAUGAACAUUUUUCAUUUGAGUGAGCUUACUGCAAUAUCAGAUCGACUACUUUAAAUACAUUUAAAACCACCUUGCGCAGCUGUGUGCUCCGUGUCAGGCCAACAGAAUCCUAGGCGAGGGAACCAGAAUGUGUCAAUGAAGAAUGGGAAAAAAAAAAUUUGAUCAUAUACUCAGGUUAGGUUCCAUGUUCUUCUAUACUUUCUACCUAUUCCAUUGUCUUUAAUUGCUUCAACCAGUUCAGUUAUCCUAGCAUUGAUGGCAUCACAAGUUUCAGUUAAGCACAUAUAAUUCUUAUUUGGUAACAGUUGUUCUUAAUAUAUAUCAGUUUCUGUUUUGCGCUUAGUGUGGGAAAGCUUACUGCACAUACAUUACGUGGAGUAAUAAUCAUGCAACCCUCCAGCUCCUGCUUAAUUUAUUCAAAAGUCCCUGUAUCUGUGCGUAUGUUAAUCUUUUAUGUGUCACUACCAGCAGCAUGAAAGAUUUUGUGUGCAAAAAACAUAUACUUACUUCGUAGGUUCGUGCAGCAAAACUGUUUUGCAUUGUUUCUCUUUUAAUAAAAUUGUUCCUUACUUCAUAGCUAUAGGUUCAUACAGUGGUAAAAUUUUCUGCGAGUCGAUUGCCUAUUUUUUGCUAUCCAUUUUAUUCAAUUUCUCAGUCUUGCAAGCAUUUCUAAAGUUCAAUGGUAAAUACAGUAGAACCUCAUGCUUAUAUGAAUAUAGUACAACUCAAUAAUGCCUUCCAGUGUCCAAUAUGCUGAACGGAUGGAGAAUCUUGGGCUGCAUAGCCAUUCAGAUGACAAGCAAGAAUAUGUACAGCACCUUCAUUUACAAAUCUCAUUUCCAUGUCAGACAACAUCAGAUAUAGAAGAGGAUAUCAUCUCUGCAAUUGAAAAGAAGAUAAGGCAGGCCAAAGCAUGGCUACUGCACCAACCAAGAAACAAGUCAACAAAGAGCUCUUCCCACGCAAAUAAAGAUGUUGGCACUCCUCGCAAAACGAAGAUUCACCUAAAAGAACGACUCAGAUCAGCCAAGAACCGAAAGCAAAGGAGAGAAACCGAUGAAGCAAUGAUUUUGUACAGUACUACCAAUCAGUGAGUUAUGUAUAGUAUUAUGGACCUACCAGCUGUUCUACACGAUAAGUACUUGACGUAUUGUAGUAGGAGUAUUAGGUAUCCAUCACCUAACUAUGUAUAAUUGCCCUAAUCAUACUCCCAUGUUUUUGCAAUACUCUGUUUGAUGCA